rnacentral:tRNA from 2 species
GGGGGCGUAGCUCAACUGGUUAGAGCAUCAGAUUGUCGAUCUGAGGGUUGCGGGUUCAAGUCCCGUCGCUCCCG